GCAAUAAUCGCAAGAUAAUAAAUUACCUAUUUACCCGAAACAGGCGCACAAUUAACUCGCGUGAUUGCAGCGCAGAACUAUGGCGCGACUCCACCGUGUGGUUUUGCCAGAUUGCCGCGCACACCGGCCGACACAACUACUAUGGUUUCGAGUAUUUCGCGCAGCGUUAAUUUAAGACGUCCGUCUUCACGGCGAUGUAGACUUCGUCCCCUCCCGAACAUUGUAAAGUGUAAUGUGUGAUGUGUAAUGUGUAAAGUGAAUUAUGUAUUAAAUUGCAACAACUACAAACUGCGGCAAUUUGGCCACGGGCCCUAUUUGCGAGUGCAAACGGCUGGGUGCAAAAAACAAGUAAAACAAAUUAAGAAAAGUAAUCAAGCUCACAAUAACUUAAAAUAAAAAAUUAUGCGUAAAUUGCCACAACCACACACUGCGGCAAUUUGGCCACGGGAGUUACCGACCCAUUGGUACCAAACACCACCCCUCCCCCUAACCAACCACGCGCACACACAUAAAAGACGCUGCUGCGCAAUGAGUUUAGCGUAUUGUGAAGUCCUUCUUAGAAUUUGACAACCAGAAAGGAGUUUCUUACCUGGGCAGUGGAAUAUAAACACACAGCACAAAUGCACGUAAGAGAAAGAAGUCACAACACAAAACAUACGAACACAGAAAGAAACAAGAAAGUCAUGGAAGCAUACCGGAUGAGUGAAACGUUGCCGGAUACUUAUUUUUGCAAAAAAAUAAAAAUAUAAUUUGUCUAUACUGGCCAUCACUUAACAAUAACUCCAUACUCUUACUGUGUACCAACCUCUGCCAAAUAAAUU
rnacentral:lncRNA from 1 species